UGCCAGCCGCCGCGGUAAUACGGAGGGGGUUAGCGUUGUCCGGAAUCAUUGGGCGUAAAGCGCGUGUAGGCGGCUUGGCAAGUCUGGUGUGAAAUCUUGGGGCUCAACCCCAAGCGUGCACUGGAAGCUGCCUCGCUAGAGUCCGGGAGAGGAGAGCGGAACUCCCAGUGUAGCGGUGAAAUGCGCAGAUAUUGGGAAGAACACCGAUUGCGAAGGCAGCUCUCUGGAACGGUACUGACGCUGAGACGCGAAAGCGUGGGGAGCGAACAGGAUUAGAUA
rnacentral:rRNA from 1 species